GCUCACAGUAUCUUGUGGAUUUCAAAGAGGAGGUUUUCCUUUUAAAGGGAGUUUUGGCCCAGAGAAGACGAUAACAGCAGACAGGAAGGGUAGAGGAAAAGCUAAAGCCUAAGGUGGUCUUCCCCCUGAGACCUGGAGCUCACCAAGCCCCAACAAUUUCAUUUGGCUUCUGGAAAGCAAAGUACAAAUGAAUGUGUCUGAAGAGCAGUUUUGAGCCCUUUGUCCCUAACUCCAUUGUUCUCUGGUUCCUCCAGUCUUGUCUUCUCUCCUGUGGAAGACAAAGCAUCGGUCUACACUGCUAUUUACAAGCCCCUGACGAAGACAAUGUGCUCCUUGAAGACUGAAUUUCCAGGACAUUUUGUGAGAUCUGCAGGUUUGUGAAAUGAGUUACUGAAGGCUCUGGCAUUGGGCUGCCCAGUUCCAUCUGCUCCUGGUCGAAACCUAAAUCCUUUAUGUUUAUGCUACUUUUUGCCGAGUAAAAACAAAACAUGUAAACCACCAUAUCACUGUCUUUGCUUGGCUGCCAGGAAGCUCAGAAUUAAAUUUACA
rnacentral:lncRNA from 1 species